ACAUUUGUAAAGCGCUUUUAAUUAUACAGAAUAAUCUCAAAGUGCAUAAAAUGAAAACCCCCAAAAUAUAUAUUAAUGGAAACAAUUACACAGAUGACGCUACAAGGGACAUGGACAAGGAGGGAAAUUACCAUGAAUAGUCAGCAGGAGGGAUAUUACCAUGAAUACACUGGAAAGUCAGCAGGAGGGAUAUUACCAUGAAUAGUCAGCAGGAGGGUUUUUAAUUCAGUCUGGAAUAAGAUGGGGAGCCAAUACAGAGAUGCCAGGAUGGAGGUGAUGUGGUGGUGUUGAGACGGGGAGCCAGUACAGAGAUGCCAGGAUGGAGGUGAUGUGAUGGUGUUGAGAUGGGGAGCCAGUACAGAGAUGCCAGGAUGGAGGUGAUGGGGUGGUGUUGAGACGAGGAGCCAGUACAGAGAUGCCAGGAUGGAGGUGAUGUGAUGGUGUUUCCGCACUCUCAUCAGGAUUCUGGCAGGGCUGUUCUGGAAGUACUGGAGCUUCUGGAGACUCCUGACAGGGAUCCUGGUGAAGACUGUGUUGUAGUCCUGGAGACUCCUGACAGGGAUCCUGGUGAAGACUGUGUUGUAGUCCUGGAGACUCCUGACAGGGAUCCUGGUGAAGACUGUGUUGUAGUCCUGGAGACUCCUGACAGGGAUCCUGGUGAAGACUGUGUUGUAGUUCUGGAGACUCCUGACAGGGAUCCUGGUGAAGACUGUGUUGUAGUCCUGGAGACUCCUGACAGGGAUCCUGGUGAAGACUGUGUUGUAGUUCUGGAGACUCCUGACAGGGAUCCUGUUGAAGAGUACGUUGCAGUAGUCAAGCCUUGAAGAGAUAAAGGCAUGGACAAGCUGUACAAAGUCUUUAUCAUGUUUUUAUAUCAUUACAAAUAGGAAUAUCUGAUCGUUUGAUUCAGAAUGUCUCUCAGGGUGAUGAGAUAAUAGUCGGACGGAUGUUAUCGAUACAUGAAAUGAAAUAAAAUUCCAGAAAAGGUC